UAACAAGGGUUAGAAUCCCAUCUUUACCCCACCUGGACUUACCAGCAGGUGUGAGCAAAGCAGGUGCUUAGGGAGAACUUGUGGCUGGGGUGGAGGAAGGAGCAGGGUAAUGAGUCACCUGGAGAAGCCUUGAGUACAUGCAAGGAAAUGAGUCAUGGUUUAGAAAAUUCCUGCUCCCUCGCCCUCGGACUGGCUAGACUCUAGGGCACAUUCACUUGAGUAUCUUCAUAAGAAUAACCAAGUCUAACGCAUCUUUGUGCACUGAGAGGAUGCUGUGUUUGGAGAUAGUCUGAAGUCAUUGGGAUCCAAGCCUGAGAAAUAUCGUGGGUUAUGAGGUAACUCAGAAAGCAUCUAUUUUGAGGACUUUUCAACACUUGUCUCCACCCAGUCACUCCACUGAAAUGGAGAAAUCCAACUUGACCUCAAUUACGACUACUGAGCUACCAUUUUGCGGGGGAUUUAUCAAGGGCCGGACUCUGCUCUAGACUACUGGUGUAAAAGAUCACUGCUAAUCCCCCCAGUGGCUCUCUGAGGAACAUAUAAUCCCAACAGAACGUGGGAAAGACAUGGGAAAAUCCCUACUGCGGCACAGUACACAAAAUAUCUGACCAAUUAUCUUCAAAACUUCAAGGUCAUCAAAAAACAGGAAAAAUCCAAGAACUUCAGCCAAGAGAAGCCUAAAGAGAUAGCUGAUGACUGAACGCAGUUGGUGUCCCAGCUGGAUUCCGACCAGAAGCGGCACAUUAUGUAAAAACGAAGGAAAUCUGAG